GAUGAACGCUGGCGGCGUGCCUAACACAUGCAAGUCGAGCGAUUCUCUUCGGAGAAGAGCGGCGGACGGGUGAGUAACGCGUGGGUAACCUGCCCUGUACACACGGAUAACAUACCGAAAGGUAUGCUAAUACGAGAUAAUAUGCUUUUAUCGCAUGAUAGAAGUAUCAAAGCUUUUGCGGUACAGGAUGGACCCGCGUCUGAUUAGCUAGUUGGUAAGGUAACGGCUUACCAAGGCGACGAUCAGUAGCCGACCUGAGAGGGUGAUCGGCCACACUGGGACUGAGACACGGCCCAGACUCCUACGGGAGGCAGCAGUAGGGAAUCUUCGGCAAUGGGCGAAAGCCUGACCGAGCAACGCCGCGUGAAUGAUGAAGGCCUGGUUGUAAAUUACUGUUAUAAGGUAAGAAGUAGGCGUCUAGUAGGAAAGUAGGCUAGAGUGUGACGGUA
rnacentral:rRNA from 1 species